rnacentral:rRNA from 1 species
UUCCAGACUCCUACGGGAGGCAGCAGUGAGGAAUAUUGGUCAAUGGUCGGGAGACUGAACCAGCCAAGCCGCGUGAGGGAGGAAGGUACAGAGUAUCGUAAACCUCUUUUGUCAGGGAACAAAGGCGGGGACGUGUCCCCGGAUGAGUGUACCUGAAGAAAAAGCAUCGGCUAACUCCGUGCCAGCAGCCGCGGUAAUACGGAGGAUGCGAGCGUUAUCCGGAUUUAUUGGGUUUAAAGGGUGCGUAGGCGGCCUGUUAGGUAGGCGGAAAAAGCCCGGGGCCCACCCCCGGCCCGCCGUUGAAACUGGCAGUCUCGAGUUGGAGAGAAGUAUGCGGAAUGCGCGGUGUAGCGGUGAAAUGCAUAGAUAUCGCGCAGAACUCCGAUUGCGAAGGCAGCAUGCCGGCUCCACACUGACGCUGAGGCACGAAAGCGUGGGUAUCGAACAGGAUUAGAUACCCCCGUA